rnacentral:tRNA from 1 species
GGCCGAGGUGGUGUAGUUGGUUAUCCACGUUUCGUUAACACCGAAAAGGUCCCUGAGUUCCGAGUCUUCAGCUUGGUUCA